AUCGAACGCUGGCGGCAUGCCUUACACAUGCAAGUCGAACGGUAACAGGUCUUCGGAUGCUGACGAGUGGCGAACGGGUGAGUAAUACAUCGGAACGUGCCUAGUAGUGGGGGAUAACUACUCGAAAGAGUGGCUAAUACCGCAUGAGAUCUACGGAUGAAAGCAGGGGAUCGCAAGACCUUGUGCUACUAGAGCGGCCGAUGGCAGAUUAGGUAGUUGGUGGGAUAAAAGCUUACCAAGCCGACGGUCUGUAGCUGGUCUGAGAGGACGAUCAGCCACACUGGGACUGAGACACGGCCCAGACUCCUACGGGAGGCAGCAGUGGGGAAUUUUGGACAAUGGGCGCAAGCCUGAUCCAGCAAUGCCGCGUGCAGGAUGAAGGCCUUCGGGUUGUAAACUGCUUUUGUACGGAACGAAAAGCCCUGGGUUAAUACCCUGGGGUCAUGACGGUACCGUAAGAAUAAGCACCGGCUAACUACGUGCCAGCCACCGCCGUAAGAC
rnacentral:rRNA from 1 species